rnacentral:rRNA from 1 species
GACGGGGGAUGCAAGCGUUAUCCGGAAUCACUGGGCGUAAAGCGUCUGUAGGUGGUGAUGCAAGUCACUGGUGCAAAACUCUGGCUCAACCGGAGGAAAGCCAGUGAAACUGCAUGACUAGAGUGUGGGAGAGGUAGAAGGAAUUCCCUGAGUAGCGGUGAAAUGCGUAGAUACAGGGAAGAACACCGGAGGCGAAAGCGUUCUACUGGAACACAACUGACACUGCGAUACGAAAGCUAGGUGAGCGAAUGGG